GACGAACGCUGGCGGCGUGCUUAACACAUGCAAGUCGAACGGUGAAGCGCCUUCCUUUUUGGUGGGUGUGGAUGAGUGGCGAACGGGUGAGUAACACGUGAGUAACCUGCCCCCUUCUUCUGGAUAACCGCAUGAAAGUGUGGCUAAUACGGGAUAUUCUGGGUCUGUCGCAUGAUGGGUCUGGGAAAGAUAUUGUUUCGGUGGGGGAUGGGCUCGCGGCCUAUCAGCUUGUUGGUGGGGUGAUGGCCUACCAAGGCGGUGACGGGUAGCCGGCCUGAGAGGGUGGACGGUCACACUGGGACUGAGACACGGCACAGACUCCUACGGGAGGCAGCAGUGGGGAAUAUUGCACAAUGGGCGCAAGGCUGAUGCAGCGACGCCGCGUGAGGGAUGGAGGCCUUCGGGUUGUGAACCUCUUUCGCCAGUGAAGCAGGCCUGCCUCGUUUGUGGGUGGGUUGACGGUAGCUGGAUAAGAAGCGCCGGCUAACUACGUG
rnacentral:rRNA from 1 species